CGAGUCGGUCAAGCAACCGCGCGUCGUUCGCGGCGUGAGGAAAGUCCGGGCUCCACAGGACAGGGCGCCAGGUAACCCCUGGGGGGUGCAAGCCCACGGCAAGUGCAGCAGAAAGCAAACCGCCGCCGCGUCCUGCCAACGUUAAGCCGUUGGCGGAAGCGGUUGGUAAGGGUGAAAGGGUGCGGUAAGAGCGCACCGCGGGGUCUGGCAACAGCCCCGGCUAGGUAAACCCCGCCUGGAGCAAGGCCAAAUAGGGGUCCCAAGGCGUGGUCCGCGCCGGAUCCGGGUAGGCCGCUAGAGGCGACCGGCGACGGUCGUCCCAGAUGAAUGGUUGCUCGCGACAGAACCCGGCUUAUCGACCGGCUCACGCG
rnacentral:RNase_P_RNA from 1 species